rnacentral:lncRNA from 1 species
GGCUUCUGCCAAAGUUUAAUAAAAAAAAAAGGAUUCGUAAAGUUAUGGAUGUCUAAAAAAAAAAACUUUUGGAAUUUUGGGUGCUCAAUUUACUUUUACUUCGUACUUUAUUUUUUCUUUUUUAACUUUUUUUAUUCGACAUAAGAGUAAGGGACAAUAUUUUCCAAUUUUGCUGUGACUACUGUGUUAAUAUCCUAAUAAAGCUUUUGUCCAGGUUUUAUAAAAUUCUAUGAAGGUAAUUGAUGUCUAAUAAUACUUCAACCACAAACUACAAUUUGAAGACUCCGACGACAGACUAUAGGACCUGAUCAAGAUAUUGAUUACUGCAAGUUCUACCAUGAAAAUCUUAUCGCCAAAUAAGCAUUUUGAAAUAAUGAAUAUUUCAAGUUUAGAAGUGCAUUAACUAGCCUCUGAUAUUCAAAUUCCAUUUAAUUUUACCAACCUGCAAACAUUACCUUUUUUAAUUAAACAAGCAUACUUAGCAGGUAUGCUUACAUACACAGGCAAACGUUGCCAUAAUGAUGACACAGGUAAGAUAAUAAUAAUAAUCAAUUUCUGGACAUUUAUUGUUCAACAUUUUU